GCCAAGUUUUGAGUGCCAUCAGGGCAACUUCCCUGUUCUGUUAAUUCAACUUUAGGACAUAGAGUAGACGAUUGCACAGAAAAUAUUACUCUAUUCAUUUACUUCCCAGUCUAUAAAA